rnacentral:rRNA from 1 species
UACGGAGGGUGCAAGCGUUAUCCGGAUUCACUGGGUUUAAAGGGUGCGUAGGUGGGCAGGUAAGUCAGUGGUGAAAUCUCCGGGCUUAACCCGGAAACUGCCAUUGAUACUACUUGUCUUGAAUACCGUGGAGGUCAGCGGAAUAUGUCAUGUAGCGGUGAAAUGCUUAGAUAUGACAUAGAACACCAAUUGCGAAGGCAGCUGGCUACACGAAUAUUGACACUGAUGCACGAAAGCGUGGGGAUCAAACAGG